ensembl:rRNA 5S_rRNA 5S ribosomal RNA
GCUUACGGCCAUACCACCCUGAGCAGCCCGAUCUCGUCUGAUCUCGGAAGCUAAGCAGGGUCGGGCCUGGUUAGUACUUGGAUGGGAGACCGCCUGGGAAUACCAGGUGCUGUAAGCU